rnacentral:snRNA from 1 species
GCGGAGGGGGUGAGCACAUACCUUAUAUGCACAUCGCCUUUUACUAUGCGCAUCAGUGUUCCCGCCCCGAUAUCUCCGUUGUUCGAAUUUUUCACAGAACCCUUCCAUCUCGGAAGUCU